rnacentral:rRNA from 1 species
AUGGCGGAAGGAGCGGGAUCUCAGAGGCUGGGGAAGGAGACAGCGGAGGAGCUGCUGGCACGGCUAACACUGCAGGAGGAAGAAGAGGACGAUUUCAUCUGGGAAGAGGAGCUGCCGGACAGGAUGGAGCCGGCGAAGUGGUUAGCAAUUGUACGCGUCCACAUGCUGAAGUCUUUCAGCCCUAAUGCGCUUUAUGGAGAUAUGCGUGCAGCCUGGAACCCUGCUAAGUAAGUGGUGUGGAGGAAGAUAAAGACCAAUCCGUUCAUGGCGCAGUUUGGGUGUUUGGGUGAUUGGCACAAGGCGAUGAUUGAGGGUCCGUGGCUGUUUAGGGAGCAGGCAUUGAUCAUGGAAGCGUAUGAUGGUUUUAAAAACCCCGAUACCUUUAAACUUGACAAGAUCUUGGUGUGGGCGCAGAUCCACCGUCUGCCAGACAAUUUCUUGAUUGAACCGGCAGUGAAAGGCUUGGCGUCUAGGAUCGGAGAGGUCGAGGAAGUACAACUGAAAUUGCCUGCAGGUUUCUUUGGUGAAUUUGUAAGGGUCAAGGUGAAGAUAGACAUAAAUAGCAAGAUAAAGCGUUUUGUCACUGGGAAGAAGGGGGAAGAGAGGGUGAAAUAUUAG